rnacentral:lncRNA from 13 species
CAUUCUGACUUGUGAUAGUGAGCACGUUCCGUCAUUGAGUGUAUACUGUGACAAGAGAAUCGUAAUUAUUCUUACAAGACUAAAUCUUAUCCAAGGCUUCAGUUGUCCUUAUCAGUCAAGGAUGGAGAAGUGUCAUUUCCUUCGACACAGUCACGAGGAAGAUGCCACUGCUGAUUUGGCAACCGCCGGUAACGCGACGUCCUCCCGUUUUUUGCUGACUGAUGAGGAUGAGAUUUUGUAGAUAUUGCGCUGAAAAUGACUCAAAAUGAGUCGAAACGUCCGUAGGUAUUGUAAUUCGAUAUGAAAGUAACACGUUAAAAUUGUUUGUUGACAAGAAAUAAACAUUUGCGCACUUA